UAAAAAAAAAUGAUGUACGAAUAUGGUUGACGACUUGACUUGUUGUCGGAAAUGCGUAGGAUCCAAAAAAAGUCAACCAGAAACAGAACUUGACUCUGAUUGUGAAUCCAGUAAUCAGAACAGAGGAACAGUAUUGAAUAAAUAUUAAAAUGGGAGAGUACUUGGUAACUGGAGGGACAAGCUUUAUAGCCUCUCACGUUGUAAAGGCACUUCUUGACUUGGGCCAUUCCGUAAGAACAACUGUUAGAGACUCCUCAGGUGCGGUAGUGAAGAAGGGAGAGAUAUGCCUCAUAGCUUGGACACAAGAAAGAUACAUGAACUUGGCUUUGGGUCCUUCAAGUCAUUAGCUGAGAUGUUCGAUGACUGCAUCAAGUGUUUCCAAGACAAGGGUCUACUCUGAAACCAAACCGCUAUCGUUAUCAGGAAAUCAAAGUGAUCCAGCUUAUGUUGAUCUUUUAAAGUUUAUUCAGACACUAAAUAAUCUACUUGUCUUAUGAUUCUGCAGUCUGCACUGUCAUUCCCAUUUUCUUGGAGUUUAGGAUUCGUCACUAGGUCUUGUAGAUUAUCUUUGGACAAAGUAGCAUAGAUGAUAGAUAGGUCGACUGAUAAUGUCACAUGUGUCUGUCCGUACAAAGAACGGUGAAAGAGGAUGUGUGAGAACUAUUCCACAAAAGUAGUAGAGAAUGCCGAGUCUCUCAUUUGGUUAUGUUUGCUCACAGUCACAAUCACCGUUAGCCUCCUUCAGAAGCAGGGCUGGCUAACUAGAGGGGACCAAUGAUGCGACCUUUGCGGGUCCAAACCCGUGUCUCCCUUAUAUUCCCGUAUAUUAAUAGUUAAAAAGCCCAUUUUUUUAAAUAUAAAUGCACAUUUUUUA